UUCAAGGCGCCCCCCACGGCGAACCCCGUUGGCCCCAGAGCAAAAGGAGAGUCAAGAGUGACUAAAUCAAAGGGAAUACGGUAAAAGGGGGGGGGGGGGAAUUACACGUUGUAUUAAAUGUAGAGGCUAGAUUCGCGGAAUGGUGCAAUAACAACUUUGUGUUUAGAAAAUGGAGGAGAGAGAGCGGCAACAAGGACCGGAAAACAGCUAUUGCUCUACUUCGAGGGAGCUCCUUUUUACAAAGACGGAGAGAAAAGUUUGUGUCGACAAAGGAGACGGUGGACAGAGAGCGAUAGACCGGUGUGCAAGAGUUUUCCUCCGCGGCGAGGAGCCACACAUCCCGGCCGCUUUUCUGCCGUCCAGCCCGGCCAGCCGAAGGCAGUUUCUCCCUGCUCUGGAGAUGUGGGUCUGGGCACUGAGUGUGUCACAAUUGAAAACGAAAUAAAUACACACAAAUUAA